rnacentral:rRNA from 1 species
GACGAACGCUGGCGGCGUGCUUAACACAUGCAAGUCGAACGGAAAGGCCCUGCUUUUGUGGGGUGCUCGAGUGGCGAACGGGUGAGUAACACGUGAGUAACCUGCCCUUGACUUUGGGAUAACUUCAGGAAACUGGGGCUAAUACCGGAUAGGAGCUCCUGCUGCAUGGUGGGGGUUGGAAAGUUUCGGCGGUUGGGGAUGGACUCGCGGCUUAUCAGCUUGUUGGUGGGGUAGUGGCUUACCAAGGCUUUGACGGGUAGCCGGCCUGAGAGGGUGACCGGCCACAUUGGGACUGAGAUACGGCCCAGACUCCUACGGGAGGCAGCAGUGGGGAAUAUUGCACAAUGGGCGGAAGCCUGAUGCAGCAACGCCGCGUGCGGGAUGACGGCCUUCGGGUUGUAAACCGCUUUCGCCUGUGACGAAGCGUGAGUGACGGUAAUGGGUAAAGAAGCACCGGCUAACUACGUGCCAGCAGCCGCGGUGAUACGUAGGGUGCGAGCGUUGUCCGGAUUUAUUGGGCGUAAAGGGCUCGUAGGUGGUUGAUCGCGUCGGAAGUGUAAUCUUGGGGCUUAACCCUGAGCGUGCUUUCGAUACGGGUUGACUUGAGGAAGGUAGGGGAGAAUGGAAUUCCUGGUGGAGCGGUGGAAUGCGCAGAUAUCAGGAGGAACACCAGUGGCGAAGGCGGUUCUCUGGGCCUUUCCUGACGCUGAGGAGCGAAAGCGUGGGGAGCGAACAGGCUUAGAUACCCUGGUAGUCCACGCUGUAAACGGUGGGUACUAGGUGUGGGGUCCAUUCCACGGGUUCCGUGCCGUAGCUAACGCUUUAAGUACCCCGCCUGGGGAGUACGGCCGCAAGGCUAAAACUCAAAGGAAUUGACGGGGCCCCGCACAAGCGGCGGAGCAUGCGGAUUAAUUCGAUGCAACGCGUAGAACCUUACCUGGGUUUGACAUGGAUCGGGAGUGCUCAGAGAUGGGUGUGCCUCUUUUGGGGUCGGUUCACAGGUGGUGCAUGCCUGUCGUCAGCUCGUGUCGUGAGAUGUUGGGUUAAGUCCCGCAACGAGCGCAACCCUUGUUCACUGUUGCCAGCACGUUAUGGUGGGGACUCAGUGGAGACCGCCGGGGUCAACUCGGAGGAAGGUGGGGAUGACGUCAAGUCCUCAUGCCCCUUAUGUCCAGGGCUUCACGCAUGCUACAAUGGCUGGUACAGAGAGUGGCGAGCCUGUGAGGGUGAGCGAAUCUCGGAAAGCCGGUCUCAGUUCGGAUUGGGGUCAGCAACUCGACCUCAUGAAGUCGGAGUCGCUAGUAAUCGCAAAUCAGCAACGCUGCGGUGAAUACGUUCCCGGG